ensembl:misc_RNA Metazoa_SRP Metazoan signal recognition particle RNA
GCCAGGUGUGGUGGCGUGUGCCUGUGGUCCCAGCUACUCAGGAGGCUGAGGUGGGGGGAUCACUUGAGCCUGGGAUGUCGAGGCUGCAGUGAUCCAAGAUUGUACCACUGCACUCCAGCCUGGGUGACAGAGUGAGACCCUGCCUCAA